rnacentral:rRNA from 1 species
AUUGAACGCUGGCGGCAGGCUUAACACAUGCAAGUCGAACGAGCGGCGGACGGGUGAGUAAUGUCUGGGAAUCUGCCUUAUGGAGGGGGAUAACUACUGGAAACUGUAGCUAAUACCGCAUACCAUAGGAUGUGCCCAGGUGGGAUUAGGUAGUUGGUGGGGUAAAGGCUCACCAAGGCGACGAUCCCUAGCUGGUCUGAGAGGAUGACCAGCCACACUGGGACUGAGACACGGACCAGACGCCUACGGGAGGCAGCAGUGGGGAAUAUUGCGCAAUGGGGGCAAGCCUGACGCAGCCAUGCCGCGUGAAUGAAGAAGGCCUUCGGGUUGUAAAGUACUUUCGGUAGCGAGGCGUUAACUACAGAAGAAGCACCGGCUAACUCCGUGCCAGCAGCCGCGGUAAUAC